UACGGAGGGUGCAAGCGUUGCUCGGAAUUAUUGGGCGUAAAGGGUAGGUAGGUGGUCUCAUUUGUCUGGGGUGAAAGCCUUGAGCUUAACUCAAGAAGUGCCCCAGAAACGGUGAGACUAGAGUCCUGGAGAGGGUCGUGGAAUUCCCGGUGUAGCGGUGAAAUGCGUAGAGAUCGGGAGGAACACCAGAGGCGAAGGCGGCGACCUGGACAGGAACUGACACUGAGGCACGAAGGCCAGGGGAGCAAACGGG
rnacentral:rRNA from 1 species